UCUUCCUGGAUAGGAUUAGCUUGCAGUUGUGCAAGUAGGUAGAAACCUGAACAUAGGGUAAUGAUGCAUGACAACACUAGGCUCGAGUCCAGCUCCCUGGUAGUGUGUCUUCCCUCGGUUUCUGGCUAGAUUUUCUUUCCCUUGAGGGGGAACUACAUCGCCCUGAUCCUUGUUCCAGACGAGGUAUGUAGGCAGGAGACCGUGCGAGGUCUCUCCGGGCACUUUUUU
rnacentral:lncRNA from 1 species